rnacentral:tRNA from 1 species
AGGGGUAUAGCUCAAUUGGCAGAGCGCUGGUCUCCAAAACCAGAGGUUGUAGGUUCGAUUCCUACUGCCCCUGCCA